rnacentral:rRNA from 1 species
GGGUUGUGAGGUUAAGCGACUAAGCGUACACGGUGGAUGCCCUGGCAGUCAGAGGCGAUGAAGGACGUGCUAAUCUGCGAUAAGCGUCGGUAAGGUGAUAUGAACCGUUAUAACCGGCGAUUUCCGAAUGGGGAAACCCAGUGUGAUUCGUCACACUAUCAUUAACUGAAUCCAUAGGUUAAUGAGGCGAACCGGGGGAACUGAAACAUCUAAGUACCCCGAGGAAAAGAAAUCAACCGAGAUUCCCCCAGUAGCGGCGAGCGAACGGGGAGCAGCCCAGAGCCUGAAUCAGUGUGUGUGUUAGUGGAAGCGUCUGGAAAGGCGCGCGAUACAGGGUGACAGCCCCGUACACAAAAAUGCACAUGCUGUGAGCUCGAUGAGUAGGGCGGGACACGUGGUAUCCUGUCUGAAUAUGGGGGGACCAUCCUCCAAGGCUAAAUACUCCUGACUGACCGAUAGUGAACCAGUACCGUGAGGGAAAGGCGAAAAGAACCCCGGCGAGGGGAGUGAAAAAGAACCUGAAACCGUGUACGUACAAGCAGUGGGAGCACGCUUAGGCGUGUGACUGCGUACCUUUUGUAUAAUGGGUCAGCGACUUAUAUUCUGUAGCAAGGUUAACCGAAUAGGGGAGCCGAAGGGAAACCGAGUCUUAACUGGGCGUUAAGUUGCAGGGUAUAGACCCGAAACCCGGUGAUCUAGCCAUGGGCAGGUUGAAGGUUGGGUAACACUAACUGGAGGACCGAACCGACUAAUGUUGAAAAAUUAGCGGAUGACUUGUGGCUGGGGGUGAAAGGCCAAUCAAACCGGGAGAUAGCUGGUUCUCCCCGAAAGCUAUUUAGGUAGCGCCUCGUGAAUUCAUCUCCGGGGGUAGAGCACUGUUUCGGCAAGGGGGUCAUCCCGACUUACCAACCCGAUGCAAACUGCGAAUACCGGAGAAUGUUAUCACGGGAGACACACGGCGGGUGCUAACGUCCGUCGUGAAGAGGGAAACAACCCAGACCGCCAGCUAAGGUCCCAAAGUCAUGGUUAAGUGGGAAACGAUGUGGGAAGGCCCAGACAGCCAGGAUGUUGGCUUAGAAGCAGCCAUCAUUUAAAGAAAGCGUAAUAGCUCACUGGUCGAGUCGGCCUGCGCGGAAGAUGUAACGGGGCUAAACCAUGCACCGAAGCUGCGGCAGCGACGCUUAUGCGUUGUUGGGUAGGGGAGCGUUCUGUAAGCCUGUGAAGGUGUACUGUGAGGUAUGCUGGAGGUAUCAGAAGUGCGAAUGCUGACAUAAGUAACGAUAAAGCGGGUGAAAAGCCCGCUCGCCGGAAGACCAAGGGUUCCUGUCCAACGUUAAUCGGGGCAGGGUGAGUCGACCCCUAAGGCGAGGCCGAAAGGCGUAGUCGAUGGGAAACAGGUUAAUAUUCCUGUACUUGGUGUUACUGCGAAGGGGGGACGGAGAAGGCUAUGUUGGCCGGGCGACGGUUGUCCCGGUUUAAGCGUGUAGGCUGGUUUUCCAGGCAAAUCCGGAAAAUCAAGGCUGAGGCGUGAUGACGAGGCACUACGGUGCUGAAGCAACAAAUGCCCUGCUUCCAGGAAAAGCCUCUAAGCAUCAGGUAACAUCAAAUCGUACCCCAAACCGACACAGGUGGUCAGGUAGAGAAUACCAAGGCGCUUGAGAGAACUCGGGUGAAGGAACUAGGCAAAAUGGUGCCGUAACUUCGGGAGAAGGCACGCUGAUAUGUAGGUGAAGCGACUUGCUCGUGGAGCUGAAAUCAGUCGAAGAUACCAGCUGGCUGCAACUGUUUAUUAAAAACACAGCACUGUGCAAACACGAAAGUGGACGUAUACGGUGUGACGCCUGCCCGGUGCCGGAAGGUUAAUUGAUGGGGUCAGCGCAAGCGAAGCUCUUGAUCGAAGCCCCGGUAAACGGCGGCCGUAACUAUAACGGUCCUAAGGUAGCGAAAUUCCUUGUCGGGUAAGUUCCGACCUGCACGAAUGGCGUAAUGAUGGCCAGGCUGUCUCCACCCGAGACUCAGUGAAAUUGAACUCGCUGUGAAGAUGCAGUGUACCCGCGGCAAGACGGAAAGACCCCGUGAACCUUUACUAUAGCUUGACACUGAACAUUGAGCCUUGAUGUGUAGGAUAGGUGGGAGGCUUUGAAGUGUGGACGCCAGUCUGCAUGGAGCCGACCUUGAAAUACCACCCUUUAAUGUUUGAUGUUCUAACGUUGACCCGUGAUCCGGGUUGCGGACAGUGUCUGGUGGGUAGUUUGACUGGGGCGGUCUCCUCCUAAAGAGUAACGGAGGAGCACGAAGGUUGGCUAAUCCUGGUCGGACAUCAGGAGGUUAGUGCAAUGGCAUAAGCCAGCUUGACUGCGAGCGUGACGGCGCGAGCAGGUGCGAAAGCAGGUCAUAGUGAUCCGGUGGUUCUGAAUGGAAGGGCCAUCGCUCAACGGAUAAAAGGUACUCCGGGGAUAACAGGCUGAUACCGCCCAAGAGUUCAUAUCGACGGCGGUGUUUGGCACCUCGAUGUCGGCUCAUCACAUCCUGGGGCUGAAGUAGGUCCCAAGGGUAUGGCUGUUCGCCAUUUAAAGUGGUACGCGAGCUGGGUUUAGAACGUCGUGAGACAGUUCGGUCCCUAUCUGCCGUGGGCGCUGGAGAACUGAGGGGGGCUGCUCCUAGUACGAGAGGACCGGAGUGGACGCAUCACUGGUGUUCGGGUUGUCAUGCCAAUGGCACUGCCCGGUAGCUAAAUGCGGAAGAGAUAAGUGCUGAAAGCAUCUAAGCACGAAACUUGCCCCGAGAUGAGUUCUCCCUGACUCCUUGAGAGUCCUGAAGGAACGUUGAAGACGACGACGUUGAUAGGCCGGGUGUGUAAGCGCAGCGAUGCGUUGAGCUAACCGGUACUAAUGAACCGUGAGGCUUAACCUUACAACGCCGAAGCUGUU